ACACUAUAUAGCUCAGUUGGUAGAGCACAAGACUCUUAAUGUCAGGGUUGUGGGUUCGAGACCCAUAUUGGGCA